GCAAAACAACGAAACUUAUGGAGAACGGUGCUAUAGAAAUAAAAACACAAACAUUCUGAGCUAAAUGAAAUAAGCAGCACUAUACUUGGGAGUGCCACGAGUGAUUUCCCAUGAGCCAAGUUAAUCGAACCGAAUCUGCUAAUACUUUGCAUGGUUCCGUUCUGCAAAAGAUUAUCAUAUACAAGGACUUAUAUAUUAAAUUAAUACAGAUUAUUGUUAUAUUUUGAACAAUAUUCAGCUUUAAAUGUAUUUCUUAAUGACUAAAAUACGGAUUUGGGUUAUCAAUUUUGUUACACGCUAAUGAAAUGCAUACACAUUAUUUUUAGACGCAGUUCUAGCCUGUACGCUUUGAUGCGGAUAAUCCAUUACGUCAGCAACUGUAACACCAGCAUUAACACGGUCAAUCUCUGGUAUAAGGGGCUGCAGAAAACUAAUGUCGUCAACCGGCUAUUCUCCUAAUGUCUUUAAACAGUUUAGCUAUAGGAGCGGCGUGGCAUGGUCGGGAUCGGCAGCUAUUGGGGCACCUUGUGUUGAAAGGGUCACAAUGGUGAAUCAUACUGCUGAACCCUGCCACAAAAUGUACUGCUGCACCAAACAUGUCACGCCGCUUCUGUAAUAUAUGGUAUAUUAGAGAACAAACUCUUUACAGUGUGUGUGUAUAAACUAAAUUUUGCUAGUAUGCUUCUGUUGGUACAUUUAAUCAUCAUGGAACAAUACGGUUGAAUGAAAACCAGCUUGAUUUUUAACUGCAUGUAUUCAUUUAUAAACAUUCCGAAUGUUACUAUCUUUUUCUUUUUGGUACUUUGUUUGUUGUUUUUUGUUAAAUUUGGUUUGAAUUUAAGCACGAAGAUAUCAUGAAUUAGUGCGGGUUUACUACACAAAGCGAUAGCAUGCGGGUUCGCCAAAUUCUGGCAUUGUAUUUGCAGAAAUAUGAGGAGAUGGUCUUAAUGUCAUUUAUUCUGUAAAAAAGCAAAACAAACAUAAUUGAAAUAUUUUUGUAGGACAUCGUUUUGUACAUCGAUUUAUAAUUCGAUGACAGCUCAUGAACAUUACCCAGUUUUUCGCGUUGUUUUUGUUCUGUUUGGCACAUUUAAUUUAUCUACUAGAAACAUUGAUGAUAGUAAAUACUCGGAAAGCAGGGGUUGGAGAGAGCCUUUUCGCUGGUCAGAGCCUCGGAUUCUCCCUACCUCCCCCCUCUUAUAUAAAAAUAUCAUAAAAAAUAGAAAAGAGUUAGGGUUGGGGCAGCCGGCUCGCAGCAUACGAUUAACCUGUCUUUCUGGGUAGUUUUUAGAUGAAAUUAAAACAAAAAAUAAUAAUUAUAAUAAUAAUAAUGCGUAAAGAUUAAGAUAACAUGACAAGUAUUUGUCAUAUUACAUAUGAAUUGUCCAUUCUGUAUUCUGUCUUACUGCAUAUGUUCAUAAAUAGUCCGGUAUAUUUUAUGUUUCUUUCGGCAUAUAGAUUGCUUAAGUACAUGCAUAUUUGGAAAGAAUUAUGAUAUUUCUGUCUAUAUAUAUUUCGAAGGCGUUCUAUUGAUGCAUUGUGUUAUUGGGAUAUUGAUUGUUAUAUGAACAGUAGUUAACCAUCAUCUUUGAAACCAGUUUAAGUUGUUUGUUUGGUAUUAGUUAUAAAGUGAAGGAAAGAAAUAAGGCGUGUAUGCGUAUAUAAACUUGAUUUUAUUAGUAAACAUACAUUAUUUGCAUUGAUCUGAUUUCAUCAAUUUAGAAUUAUUUUAUUGUCGUGACUUAAAUGGUGCUUACAAAUUGUAAUCUUUAUUCGGGGUACAGUAAAGAAAGUCUUCUUUAUUAAAAUGUUUGACUCAAGUCAAUUUUAAUUUCAUUUUAAUUUUUGUCCGUGUUGUGAGCAAUAUUUAGUGAUUCACAAAAUAUUUUGCCCGCCCGCUUAGCUCAGUAGGUAAGAGCGUUGGUCUACGGAUCUCGGGGUCGCGAGUUCGAUCCUCGGGCGGGGCUUAUGUUCUCCGUGACUAUUUGAUAAACGACAUUGUGUCUGAAAUCAUUAGUCCUCCACCUCUGAUUCAUGUGGGGAAGUUGGCAGUUACUUGCGGAGAACAGGUUUGUACUGGUACAGAAUCCAGGAAUACUGGUUAGGUUAACUGCCCGCCGUUACAUGACUGAAAUACUGUUGAAAAACGGCGUUAAACCCAAAACAAACAAACAAACAAACACAAAAUAUUUUAUUCUUGUAUACUACAGCAGUAUCAAAAUAAAAUCUCACUUGUCUAGGUUGACCUUCUCGUAUCUGCAACCUCGCGCUCGGUUGGUCAUCUCUUAUUAUUGGUGUUAUUGGGCGGGCGCUCUUUAACCGUUAGAGGGGGCCUUGUACCAUGUGGUCGGCCAUUCACCUGGUCCAUGGAUUGACUGUGUCUUAUAUAAACAGGGUUGUUCAACUUAUCGGCCAUACGAUUAUUACUGAUCAGCCGAAAGUUGCAUUUGUUAUAUGUACGUGUAGGUUCGUACAUAUUUUUAUAAUUUGUGGAUCACUUUGCUACAAACCUCUAACACAUGGGUUAUGUUGAAACAGACAUGUAAAUCCACCUGUUUUCUUACGUUUCCAGUCUGCUGGUUAGCUCAGUCAAUCGCUUGGAUGGAUUAUAUUAUUAUUGUAGCAUAGUUUGCUAUAACCAUUCCCUCGCACCGGUCCGUUUGUUCAUAUAUUACAUUGAAACAAUUUUUUCAAUAUUUUAAUAUUUUUGUGCGUUUGUUUGCUGAAGACUUUCUUGACUUACAUCAGAUUUUAUCUUGAUCUUGGUGUUAUGUUUCAUUUCGCA